CUUUCUACUUGAGUGAGAGGCAGCCAGUUUUGGGUAGCAGGAUUUUUACCUGCCCUCGCCAACCAAAGAAUGAGUGAUGCUUCUGCCUCUAGCUCUCCCUUGGUGACUGUAUACACGUACCUUCAGCCUCUCCCUGUCAAACAGAUUGCAACAAGUGUCAGGACUACAGGGAUUCAGUACAAUUCAUGGUCAUCAAAACGCCUUGCAGUGAGUGCACAACAAGGAGUACACUGGAUUGAAUGGGGCGGCGUGCUGGAAUGCAAACAAGAAUGUGAAGUGUUUUGUAUGAAUAUGGAUUCUUCCAUUCCAAUGAGAGCUGGCUGUCAGCAGUUCUGUUUGAAGCUGGAGCACGUUGGAACUCAACCACUGCACAAGGAUUAGAGGCUCAUACGUUGUAAGGCAUUAGUAAAAAUAUAUUCCAGGUGGAUUCUGUCUCUUAAAUGCAUCAGUGUUAUUAAGGCAGCAGAAUUUUUUGGCAUGCAAUCUCUUCCAAAGCAUUGACUCAUGGGAGGAGGAAGGAGCAGCUUUUCCUUUUACUCAGCUUGCAAGCCUCUGACGGUCUGCUGGGAUGUUCUGUCCAAGGAGGUUGGUCAGAGGUGUUGGAGUGAGCUGUGCUCAGCUGGGCCUGGCAGCAAAACUGGGAGAGGCUCACAAUGAGGGUGAAAGGGAGGAGGAAAACCAGACGUUCUGCUUUUAUCAUUGUCAUGCUUUAAACAGCAAAAUCUGUGCUGGUAGGAAAGCCCAUGCCUAAAUCUCUUGGAUGGUAAAUAUGGACUAAGAGAAGGCUCCUAAGUAGAGACUUAAAGUGACUGGUAUGCUCUAGGAGUGUAAACCUACUUAAAUUCUGAAAUAAAAACAGCAUCAAAACUAAAUGCAACUGAAGAACAAUGCAGUGCAAAUUUCAGGUCUACUUCCAGUCGUGAGAAGAGCUGAUAUACCUAAAAGCUUGUCUAAGUUUUCCAGCUGCGCUGCUUUGUUUCAGGUAGGAUAUCUGUGUUAGCAGAGUUCCUUGUUCUUGGGGCCAUGGAUAAUAUCAGCAUCAAAAGAUGUUACCAUACAGGCUGCAAAGAAUCAGGCUGGGUUCUUGUGCAAUUUUACUUCUUUUGCAAGUCGUGUACGAGUGAGAAUGCUCUGCUUUUGCACAAUCAUUCAGGUUAGUUUUUUCUUGACCAAACCAGCACCUCCAUUCUUCUGUGCCCAAUUUCCAAGAAAAAAAAACAAACACUGCAGAGGUUUUGGGAAGACUAUCCAGUUGUUGGUUUCUUUUCUAAAGGAAAAUCUCAUUACAGGAUGUGAGUUCCAGAAGACCCAAGGGCUACUUUGAGGGCAGCAAGUUAUUGCCGAUGAGCUGCAAUGCCAAUUCUGUGCACAGACAUGCUGUGUUAUUGCUGAUAUGGAGAUUCCCUAAUCUAAUCUCACACAUGGUGACACCUGCACCAGCCUGCUAUAGGAUGGGUUCCUCAAUGUCUUUAAUUGAUGGGAACAGAGAGGUCCACUGUCCGAAUGUUUGCUAUGAGUGCAGUUUUCCAGCUGGCUUAUUUUCUGUUUGUGUUGCUCCUUGCAUGAAGCUUGGCAUGGUUUUGGAGAUGUUUUGGUAUUUUAUUGGUGUUGCUUGCAAGGCAGAUACAUUUUCUUUCCCUUGUAAGCUAUG